rnacentral:rRNA from 1 species
CCUACGGGGGGCAGCAGUGAGGAAUAUUGGUCAAUGGGCGAGAGCCUGAACCAGCCAAGUCGCUUGAAGUCUUCCUUCUCUCUUUUUUUUCCCCUUCUUUUCUCUUUUCCUCCAUUGAUUAACGUGUUCCUUUUUGUAUGUACCAUAUGAAUAAGCAUCGGCUAACUCCGUGCCAGCAGCCGCGGUAAUACGGAGGAUGCGAGCGUUAUCCGGAUUUAUUGGGUUUAAAGGGUGCGUAGGUGGUUAAUUAAGUCAGCGGUGAAAGUUUGUGGCUCAACCAUAAAAUUGCCGUUGAAACUGGUUGACUUGAGUAUAUUUGAGGUAGGCGGAAUGCGUGGUGUAGCGGUGAAAUGCAUAGAUAUCACGCAGAACUCCGAUUGCGAAGGCAGCUUACUAAACUAUAACUGACACUGAAGCACGAAAGCGUGGGGAUCAAACAGGAUUAGAGAAAAGGGUAGUC